CCUACGGGAGGCAGCAGUGAGGAAUAUUGGUCAAUGGGCGCGAGCCUGAACCAGCCAAGUAGCGUGAAGGAUGACUGCCCUACGGGUUGUAAACUUCUUUUAUAAAGGAAUAAAGUGAGGCACGUGUGCCUUUUUGUAUGUACCUUAUGAAUAAGGAUCGGCUAACUCCGUGCCAGCAGCCGCGGUAAUACGGAGGAUCCGAGCGUUAUCCGGAUUUAUUGGGUUUAAAGGGAGCGUAGGUGGGUUGUUAAGUCAGGUGUGAAAGUGUGCGGCUCAACCGUAGAAGUGCAGUUGAUACUGGCAGGCUUGAGUACGGUUGAGGUAGGCGGAAUUCGUGGUGUAGCGGUGAAAUGCUUAGAUAUCACGAAGAACUCCGAUUGCGAAGGCAGCUUACUAAAGUGACACUGACGUUGAUGCUCGAAAGUGUGGGUAUCGAACAGGAUUAGAUACCCGUGUAGUC
rnacentral:rRNA from 1 species